GAUUCGUCAUCGACUCGAGCCAGGUGAGGGUUCAGCGUGGAGGCUCGUCGAGGUCUGCUACUCGUAGCUCCUGUCGCUCCACUCAAGAUCCAGCAAAAGUGGAGCAACCGCGAGAAGAACUUAGGCGACAUCAGGAUUACUUGAAGCAACAAGCUGCGCAACAUGAAUAUUAUGCUACACAGAUUCAACAACAGCAAACACUCAUACAACAACUAGCACAGGCCCAAGGGAUACACGUCCUGGUGCCCCCCCACCUCCCCGUUCAUUAUCCUUGGUCUUCACCUCCACCUAUACCUACAUCUCCAUCUACCGAACAUCAGACCCCUCCAGCUACCUUGCCGACGCAUGAACGAGAAGACAGGUUAGACUUUGUCGAAACCCUCUUCGCUAGUGGAGGUAUCGACCAUCACUCGUCACUGUAACCCGAUGGUGAUCGGCGACCGUGAGGUUCCAUGUUAUUGUGUUCUGAUACUUGAGACUUUUAUUAUGACUAUGUAUGAGAUAUUGUCUCUUAUUAGUACUGGAUGAUGAGAUGUGUCUUAUUAUGACUAUGGAUGAGACUUUUGUGAUGUAAUUGAUGAGACUAUGGAUGAGACUUUUGUGAUGUAAUUGAUGAGACUAUGGAUUUAAAUAUUGUUA